UACGUAGGGUGCGAGCGUUGCCCGGAUUUAUUGGGCGUAAAGGGCGCGUAGGCGGCUCUGCACGUCCGUUGUGAAAUCGCCCGGCUCAACUGGGCGGGGUCAGCGGAUACGGCGGAGCUUGAGCAAGCUAGGGGGCAAUGGAAUUCCCGGUGUAGUGGUGGAAUGCGUAGAGAUCCGGAAGAACACCAGUGGCGAAGGCGGCGACCUGGGUAGAUACUGACGCUGAGGUGCGAAAGCGUGGGGAGCAAACAGG
rnacentral:rRNA from 1 species